UUCGAUUAACGCGAAGACCCUUACCUGGGCUCGAACGGCUGGUCAACGAUCGUGGAAACAUGGUUACCCCGCAAGGGGGUCCAGUCGAGGUGCUGCAUGGCUGUCGUCAGCUCGUGUCGUGAGAUGUUGGGUUAAGUCCCGCAACGAGCGCAACCCUUGUCCUGUGUUGCCACUCCGAAAGGAAGCACUCGCAGGAGACCGCCAGCGAUAAGCUGGAGGAAGGUGGGGAUGACGUCAAGUCCUCAUGGCCUUUAUGUCCAGGGCUACACACGUGCUACAAUGGCCGGUACAAUGCGUUCCCAAGCCGCGAGGUGGAGGCAAUCGCAAAAAACCGGUCUCAGUUCGGAUUGCAGGCUGCAACUCGCCUGCAUGAAGCUGGAAUCGCUAGUAAUGGCAGAUCAGCAUGCUGCCGUGAAUACGUUCCCGGGCCUUGUCACACCGAAUCACUA
rnacentral:rRNA from 1 species